AUUUUUUUAUGCAAAAUUAAAACUCCCUGUCCAUCUGCUCACAAGUUACCCAUCGCAGCACUCUCACGCCCUCCGCUCUCAAAAAUUCACUCCGGCCAUUUCGUACAUCUUCAAUCAACCGGCAAGGAGCUUCAUUUCCUACCCAUCCAUCCAAAUCUCAGCUCUCAUCUACACACCUACAAACCAGAACACACAGCUUCCCUAUCAUACUUAUACAUAGAGAAGCCCACAACCUACGCUCCAGACAGUCGCCAAUCUAUCUCUUCAUCUUCACUUCAUUUCCUAAACCCUUAAAUCCAUUCUCUAACCACUUACUCUCUGUAAUCCACCGCUGUUCCAAACCUUCCCGUUUCCUUCCUAUUUGCGUUUUCAAAUCCCACUAAAUAAUCCAUUUCCAGCAACGAAAUGUCGCCUCUUUCCAAGGCAGAAUUGGCUGGGACUUCAAAUGAAAGUCUCGGUGAAGAUGAAUUGGAGAGGAAUUUGGGUGUGUAAAUUGGAAAUCCCAUUGUUCCCUCGUAUAUUCCGCCAUCUACUAAGCUUAGUUUGAGUGACCAAGCUUUUUUUCUUGUUAUUUGUCGCUUGCACGACUUCUAUAGCUUUUACAAGCCUUGCCAUGCCAUCCCAACAUUCUAUCUUGGUGGAUAAAGAUAAGCACGGCACUUCAACAAGCACAGCACAACACGUGUCUUAACAGCAGUAGCUUAGCCUUUGGAGAGGAGGGAUUCCUUUGCCAUUUGCUGCCUGAAGGGAAAAACUUAAUUAAAGCUGAAAACUUGAAAGUCAUAAGAGUAAAAAGGGAAUGACAUUACUCCCCGCCCCAACUACCAAGAAAAAAGGUUUGGACCAAAUUUCUUUUCUUUUCUCUGCUUUCACUCUAUAUACAGUCAGCAAGAGUCAUAAUAUAACAGGAACAUUUGCAUUAUGCAGUAUAGUUUAACUAAAAGAAGAAAUUAGUGUAGCAUGUCCUUUUCAUGCUAUCCAAUAGAUGCAACAAGUAUUAGGGGACUAAAGCUUUCAACCACAUUUUCUGAUUUCCAGCAAUGCUCCUUGCCAACUUGGUUUCUACCCAUUUUGGUGUUUGGCGACAAUUCCAGUUAUAAUGAACUGUACUUUAGAGUAUGACUAGUGCCUCUUUGACAUUCUAGGCUUAUCUUUACAUGCUUUUGGCUUUGUAUUGAUGACAAUUACAUUACAGACUCAAGUAAAAUGAUGCCAAAAUCUAGGAGAGAACCUACUAGUAUUUAUAUGCUUAUAAUGAAACUUUAGUUCUUGACAAAUUCUUGCAAAAUACAUCUCCUAACCUGAGGGAAAACCAAAAGAAUUAGUUUGUCAAAAUCAAAAUAAUUUAUCUUUCGGCAUAGUCAUAAUAUGUUAAAUGAAAUUUUCCAUCCCUGGUACAUGGCAAUGGAAAUGUAACUAUUUAACCUAUUUAUUUGUCAAGCUGGACCCAAAUAGUUAGAUGAAUUCUAGAAUGAGAUCAUCAGAGAUUGCUAACUUAUGGGAACAAUAGUAAACUUGAAUUAACAUUUAUUAAUGUUGGCAAGGGCAAUUUAAACAAAAAAAAAAAAAAAAGCUCAAUUUAUUAAUGGUAAUUUUUUUUCCAUUUUUAGAUUUGGUAAAUGAUCUACUUUAGUUGAACUUUUGACCUUUAGUCCUUGCUCUUUUCUGGUUUAUUGCUGACUGCAUUUUAUAUCAAAGCAACAUAGGCAUCAAUUCUUCAAUUUUGGAAUAAAAUGCAAAAAUGUGGUUGAUUGUUCUUUUCCCUGAUUUGUCCGAAGCAGUGAAUGAUCGCUUCUGCACAAUUAUUUCCUCUGUCAGUAAUCUAUUAUAGCAUCAGAGGUAAUUAAAUUGCUGCUAGUUUUUUAUUCAGACUACUAGUUAUGUCCCUCUUAAGCUUUAUGUAGUGAGAAUGAGCUUUCCUUCCUUCCUUUAUUAUUUUGUCAUUUUCUCUCCAUGAAAACAAGAAGAAAAAAUUUUAGCCUUUCAGUGUUUAAAUUAAACCCACCAUUAUUUAGUUAACACACUUGACAAUCAUACUGUGGUGCAUGUUAUCAUGUUAAUUAAUUAUAUAUGUUAAUCAAGCAUAUUCCUACUGUUAUAUCAUUAAUAAUUAUAUGAUGCUUUUGCUAUGUAUAUAUAAUGAAAAAAAAUUAUUUCAAAACUACAUGAAGUGAAGUCUUUAAAAUCAUUAAGUUCAUUUUAGGAUAAUAACCAAUUAAAUUAUUUUAUUGAGAUGAAAAUGAUGAAUUUGAAUUGCAGAAAUUAAUAGCCAAUAAUGAUGUAUCAAAAAAAUGACUUUAGUUAUCAAAUGAAUAAUUACUUUUAGAAUCCACAACGUGAAAAUUUCAUAUAUUAAAUCAUUUUUUUAGAAAAUUAAAAAGAUUUACAUAGAAAUGACAGAUUUUGAAGUAGUGAAUAAGCUGACCUGUCAUGAAGAAGAGAAAAUGGAAAUAAAUUAUAGUUUAAGCAGAGUGGGUUACCAAUCAGAGUGUUAAACAAAUAAUAAUGGAAAAAUAAACAUGCUGCUACCAUAGAUUCCACAAAUUUUGCAUAAGCCAUUACAGCAAAUAAUGUUGUCUUAUUGUCAAUCUUAUAAGCAUGCUGACCCAGCGUUAGCAUGCCAAUGCCAAACUUAACUCAAACUUUGCUCCUACAUUAUUGUGAAUCUUAUAUUAAUAUUAUAAUUAUUAAUUAUUAUGGCAUUAUUGUUUAUUAUUUUAAUUAUUUAUUCAGGGGAAAUUCUAGGAGUACAUCACUGGUCACAAAGGUAAUUUUUUUUUAUUAUAGAAUGAUAGAGAUGCCUUUACUCUUUCCUCAUAUUAGCUAAUAUAACUAUUCUGAUCAAUCUUUAUUGUGCUUUUGAUUUUUGAGGCGGGGAGACUUCAUCAGAUUUAAAGUAGAUCCGGUAGUAUUCUUGUUUGAUUUAACUAAUCUUAAACUUAGAUCUAACAAAAAAUAAAUUUCUUUGAUUGUUAAUAUAAUAAUGUGCAAGUAUGGACAGUGUGCAAUGGAAAAAGAGAUUCGACAAUUACACCAGGCUGUCGCGACUCUAAAGGAUAGUUUGGCUUUAAUGGAGGAGAGAUUCUGGCAAUGUGUGCAUGAUAGCAUAGAUGAUGUAGGGCUGGAGCUCAGAAUGCUACUCAAUAGGAUGAUGCUAGAGAUAUUGAUGGUUGUGACAUUAUUAACGAUGAUCAGCUUGUUUUGUUGUUUUUAUGAUAUUUUGUUUUUUCAUGUAGUACAUUAUUGUUAUAAUUUUUCACUUUGGUAUCUAUAUAUAAUAUUGAUUGAUAUUUAACAA